CGCGAUAAACCCCGUCAGCAAAACACGUAAAACGCCAUCCGAUAUAUUAAUAGGACACCAUUGUGUCAACCUUGUGGAUUGUAGUACUGAAAGAACGAAGGCGAACCUCCUCGGAGUUACUAAUGAUACGAGGUCCAGAUUCCUCCCACAUUUCUGGGACAUUGAGGUCUUUGUCAGUAUAAACAAGAAGAUCGAAARCACCUGAAAAGAAAGACAAUAUAAAUAAAUAAAAA